AGGCGGGGAGCAAUCUCCAGUCGAGCGGCGAACGGGUGAGUAACGCGUGGAUGACCUGCCCUUUGGUGGGGGAUAACUCGGGGAAACUCGAGCUAAUACCGCAUAUCACCGAGAGGUGAAAGGGGGCCGCAAGGCUCCCGCCGAAGGAGGGGUCCGCGUCCGAUUAGCUAGUUGGUGGGGUAAUGGCCUACCAAGGCGACGAUCGGUAGCCGGCCUGAGAGGGUGAUCGGCCACACUGGAACUGAGACACGGUCCAGACUCCUACGGGAGGCAGCAGUGGGGAAUUUUGCGCAAUGGGCUAACGCCUGACGCAGCAACGCCGCGUGGAGGAUGAAGGUCUUUGGAUUGUAAACUCCUGUCAGCAGGGAAAAAGGGACUUGGCCUAAUACGCUGAGGACUUGAUUGUACCUGCAGAGGAAGCCCCGGCUAACUCUGUGCCAGCAGCCGCGGUAAUACAGAGGGGGCAAGCGUUAUUCGGAAUUAUUGGGCGUAAAGGGCGCGUAGGCGGCUUUGCAAGUGGCGGGUGAAAUCCCUCGGCUUAACCGAGGAACUGCCUGCCAGACUGUAUGGCUUGAGACCGGGAGAGGUGAGUGGAAUUCCCAGUGUAGCGGUGAAAUGCGUAGAUAUUGGGAGGAACACCAGUGGCGAAGGCGGCUCACUGGACCGGUACUGACGCUGAGGCGCGAAAGCGUGGGGAGCAAACAGG
rnacentral:rRNA from 1 species